rnacentral:lncRNA from 1 species
GUGUCCGAUGCGGCAGAACUUGCUGGCACUGGCUUGCUUCUUGGCAGCUUAUUAGCGUGGAGCGUGCAGCGGCUUUUGGCCUUCGCCUGGAUGCCUAUAGAACCAGAUAUUUGCAGAGGCCUGGCGGCGCGUACGCAUAUGCGUGGAUGUGCGGCGUGCAGUGCCUGGAUGCCUGGAAACGAUGGGUGUAGUAUAUGCGUCCAGCCAAAGAGCCCGGCGGCGUGUGCAAAAAAAA